rnacentral:lncRNA from 1 species
AUUCGUGCCCGGCCGGCCAAUGAGCGCCGCGGGGGGCCGCGUGAUCGGAGCCUGGCCGCGGCGUGAUCGGGCAGGGCGGGACGCGGCACGUGUUUUGGUCGGAGCGAGGGGCGGGGCCUGAGGCCCUGGAAAGAAUGCGUCCUUGACCGGAGAGGUCGGAAAGCUGGCCGGUUCUAGGUGACAUUCCUGCAUCCGGUCAUUUUUGCAGACAGCGGGAGUCAGAGCUUAUUGGCCUGAGUGUCCCGCUGACGCCCCUCCUCUGGCGUCUCUGGGCCUCUUCCGCUCUGUUACGGGGUCAGGGGAAGCCGAAACGGGCAGUCACCCAGAAGGCGCCCGCUGAAACCCGCCCAUUCUUCCCAGGCCCCGAGAAAACGCCGCCCCCUCCGGGAAGUCCUCGAGCCUGCAGGAGACAUCUAGCCCGCUGUCCAGGGCACCUUUUUUUUUCUCCCUAUAUUUCGGUUGCUCGCGUCUCUUGGUGUGGUUUGCCCACGUCUGCAGCGCCAGACAGCAUUCCUUCUGCGUGGAACAUGCCAACCCUCGUCUGCUUUGACUUUGCAAAACUGCAUGAGACCGCCGGGCGCGGUGGCUCACGCCUGUAAUCCCAGCACUUCAAGAGGCCGAGGCAGACAGAUCACCUGAGAAAGGGAAAUGGAGACACAGAGAACAGAAGCAGCCUGUCCUAGUUACUCAAAGUGUGGGCAGAGGAAUGACUGGAUGCCCUGCCUCCAGACUCACGCUGAGUCCCACCCCGAACCACACUGCAGUGCCACCCUGCCACCUCUUGGACAGAGUGCCCCAGGAGCAGCCCCAGAAGAAAGCCUCAGGAGGCCAGCAUGUCUCUGGGCAACAGAACAAACCGCCGACUGGCCUGGGAGGGCAGGCUUCCAAGGGUCCUCGUGGCUACCCAGCCCAUCUGCUCAGCCAACUGCUUGCAUCUGGAACUCCAGUUUAAUCAUGAAAAAAACAUCUGACAAACCCAAAUGGAGGAACACCCACAAAAUGCCUCGUCACUGCUUUUCAAAAGGGCCAAGGUCAUGAAAACCGAGAAAGAACUGAGAAACCAUCUCACAUCGGAGGAGGCACGAUGGCUAAAUGCACCCCGGUCGCCCUGGACUGGAUCCGGAAAUAGUAAAAGUGCAUUAGUGGAAAACUGGUGAAAUCCACCGAAAGUCUGCAGUUGGUGAUAGUAUUGAAUCAAUGUUAAUCUCAUAGUUUUGACAAAUGCACCACGGUUACGUACGCGAGACGUUAACAUUAGGGGGAACU